rnacentral:rRNA from 1 species
GAUGAACGCUGGCGGCGUGCCUAAUACAUGCAAGUCGAGCGAACAGACGAGGAGCUUGCUCCUCUGACGUUAGCGGCGGACGGGUGAGUAACACGUGGAUAACCUACCUAUAAGACUGGGAUAACUUCGGGAAACCGGAGCUAAUACCGGAUAAUAUAUUGAACCGCAUGGUUCAAUAGUGAAAGACGGUUUUGCUGUCACUUAUAGAUGGAUCCGCGCCGCAUUAGCUAGUUGGUAAGGUAACGGCUUACCAAGGCGACGAUGCGUAGCCGACCUGAGAGGGUGAUCGGCCACACUGGAACUGAGACACGGUCCAGACACCUACGGGAGGCAGCAGUAGGGAAUCUACCGCAAUGGGCGAAAGCCUGACGGAGCAACGCCGCGUGAGUGAUGAAGGUCUUCGGAUCGUAAAACUCUGUUAUUAGGGAAGAACAAAUGUGUAAGUAACUAUGCACGUCUUGACGGUACCUAAUCAGAAAGCCACGGCUAACUACGUG